ACCACGGAGCAAUGCAGGCUUGGCUGGCUUUGGCUGACGAGUGGCGGACGGGUGAGUAAUGUCUGGGAAACUGCCUGAUGGAGGGGGAUAACUACUGGAAACGGUAGCUAAUACCGCAUAACGUCGCAAGACCAAAGAGGGGGACCUUCGGGCCUCUUGCCAUCGGAUGUGCCCAGAUGGGAUUAGCUAGUAGGUGGGGUAACGGCUCACCUAGGCGACGAUCCCUAGCUGGUCUGAGAGGAUGACCAGCCACACUGGAACUGAGACACGGUCCAGACUCCUACGGGAGGCAGCAGUGGGGAAUAUUGCACAAUGGGCGCAAGCCUGAUGCAGCCAUGCCGCGUGUAUGAAGAAGGCCUUCGGGUUGUAAAGUACUUUCAGCGGGGAGGAAGGCGAUAAGGUUAAUAACCUUGUCGAUUGACGUUACCCGCAGAAGAAGCACCGGCUAACUCCGUGCCAGCAGCCGCGGUAAUACGGAGGGUGCAAGCGU
rnacentral:rRNA from 1 species